ACCCCAGGUCAGGCGGGACUACCCGCUGAGUUUAAGCAUAU
rnacentral:rRNA from 2 species